rnacentral:lncRNA from 1 species
GUCAGGGUUCUGGUGUCGCCGAGGUUGGCUUCUGCGCUCCUACCGCUCUCAGGGCGCCACCGGACUACCUCCCAGCGCGCAGCCAUUCACAGCUCCGCACCGCGGCCCCGGGCCAGGGUGGCGUUGGUGCUGUCGGGCUGCGGAGUCUAUGACGGAACCGAGAUCCACGAGGCCUCAGCGAUCCUGGUGCACCUGAGCCGAGGCGGAGCUGAGGUCCAUAUCUUUGCUCCUGAUGUCCCUCAGAUGCACGUGAUUGACCACACCAAGGGGGAGCCUUCUGAGAAGGAAAGCAGGAACGUUUUGGCUGAGUCAGCAAGGAUCGCCCGAGGCAAGAUCACCAACCUGGCUCAGCUCAGCGCUGCUAACCACGAUGCUGCCAUUUUCCCUGGAGGCUUUGGGGCUGCCAAAAACCUGUGCGUGUCCAAGUGAGCACAUUCGCUGUGGACGGGAAGGACUGCAAGGUUAACAAGGAGGUGGAGCGUGUCCUGAAGGAAUUCCACGGAGCCAAGAAGCCCAUUGGCCUAUGCUGCAUCGCUCCUGUCCUCGCAGCCAAAGUGAUCAAAGGUGUGGAGGUCACCGUGGGCCAUGAGCAAGAGGAGGGGGGCAAGUGGCCAUAUGCUGGAACCGCGGAAGCCGUCAAAGCCCUGGGUGCCAAGCACUGUGUGAAGGGUGUGACCGAAGCUCACGUCGACCAGAAAAACAAGGUGGUCACCACCCCGGC